UCUGAGGAAUUGUUGGAUCAGUCCCUGUCACAGGAUCUAUCCGCAGACCUUUAUGACAUUUAGAAAAGGGUGCAUUUCUUAGAGCCAUUCUGCCUAAAAACAUUACUGCAGCUCUUCAUUAGCUCCUCCAGCAGCUUUCUCGGGAACAGGAAUAAAACCCUCCCCUCACUCUUUUUUCCUGCUGUGAAUUUUGCCAGACACAGCAUGAACUUCUCGGUAACGUACAGCUCUAGGACAAAGAUGAUAAGGCCUUGUUUCUAGCCCUGCCUUGGGACUGCAACAGUGACAGAUGAAUGCUUGUCCAGUCAAGACACACUUUGGCACAUCUCACCACUCCUCACCAUCAGAGGCAUCAGGGGAGGCAGCAGAGAGGGGGGGAAUGAAUCCUGUCAACUGCCAUCUGCCUGCACUCACAGGCCAAAGCUGCAGAAUGGAUCCUUUCAAGGUGGAGCAGCAGAGAGCAAGUGCCUUCUGGCCCUGAGUAUAAAUCCUGGAGGAGUCCCUACACUGUGCUCCCCCUAAUUUCUUAGCCAUUAGGCAGUGAUUCUUGGAAACAUCAGCCUUUUUUAAGCACCAAGAAUCUCCAAUCUGUGAUGCUCCUGAACACAGCAAUUACUUCUUGUAGCAUUUUCUCAUGGGGUAUGGGAGAAGGGCAUGAAAACGAGGCCCCAGGUAGAUAUUCCAUCCAAGAUUUUCAGGCAUUUUUGUAGUCAGGAAGGGAGAGGAAACUCUUGCAGUUUUCCACCAGGCAAGGACAGCUCUCUAUGGCCACAGGGCACUGCUUUUAAACCCCGUCUCAGUGGAGAGGGCGCAGCUGGUUCUACAGCCUGUCUGAACAGAAGGAGCUUGCUCAGAAAGUUAAGCCCCACCUCGACACAAGCCCAGUGUGGGCAGGUUUUCUUAAGUCCCCCUUGUCCUCAACCCAACAAUGUGAGAGAAUAAUUUCUCUACUGCUCUGGCUGAGGGAGAAGGGUGGGAUUUGACAUCUACGGAUGUGACUCGGGAAGAAGUGAUGAGAAUGCAGCUGCCUCCCCCCGUGCUUUGUUGUUAUUCUUUCUCCAAAUACAAACUAAAUAUAACUUUGCCCGAUAACAUUCAAAUAAUUUUAGUUACUAGCAGGGAUCAUGCCUGGAGUUCCAGGGGCCAGGGUGCAAUCAGGCUUAAAAUAUAAUUUCAACAAUCCAGAAACUACAUUUUCCACAAAGUUAUUUUCUUGCUUGUAGUUUCCCCAUCUGCAAAUACAUAUAAACACAACCAGAAAGAAACCAACAAGCUCAGCCAGAUGCCAAGUUUUCUGUUCAAGAUCAUAUAAACUCAGUCAAACAUUAACAAGGAAAUGCCAUGAUCACCUCAUUUGUUUUAAAUAUUUCUGCUCAUAUACAUGCAGACAAGUGUGCAGAUUUAUUUGCCUCAUUUACGAAUACAAGCAACUGGAAUCCCCAUUCUGUUCCAUUAUAUAAAAGACAGACCCUACACCUGUCUCACUGAACAGCUGGGCAAUUUUCAAUUUAUAUCCACUAUCCUACACCACAGAAAAGCCCCACUUGCUGCUCUGCUGCUGACACUGCUUUACUAGCAUUCCUGCUCUCCUCCCCAGUGCCUUGGGAAGGGAUAGUAGUUGCCAUUUCUUGGCAAAAGGAGUUAUGUAAAACCCAAGAAAGCUUCUUUGCUUUAGCAAAUAGCUAUUUCCAGGAAGCAGCAAAAACAACUUCUAGAAGUGUAUUUAAGACACAAGAGUGGAAUAGCCUGGAGCUUCCUGUCCAUAUUUCUCACAGACAAAAACACACACACAUGUAAUUAUAUCUUCCUGGACUGCACUGCAAAGUUCAUGCACUCAUUCAACUCAUACAUGUAGUAAACAUGAUUUACAGCUCUGUGUGAAAACCCUCUAAAUAUAUGAUGUUUUGAUAGUGACUCAAAACCCAGCACUAUAAUUUAGUAACACCUAGCAGUGAAAGCUAAAUGAUUUCCCACUUCACAUUCCUAACUUUCCAUGAACCCCUUUUUACUGCUAAGCUGGGGGGGAGAUACUGCUUCUGCAAUUGUUUGGACUUAUCCUUGCUAUUCCUACAACUGAACUGCUCACUAAUAUCAAGCUUCACAUAUGGUGAA